GCACCCAGAAUCGAAAUCCAGGGAGAGGCAAUGAGUUGGCAGGACUCCACUGGUGAUGAUAUUCAGGAUGUGGGUUCUGAAGGAAAGAGGCUUUGAGACCAUGUAAUAAGACAGGAACAGGUGGUAGGGCCAGAGAAGGAGACAGAGAACGGAAGUAAAUCAACAAAACAGAGGUUCAUGGAGUAACAGCAGAGACAGAUUGCCCAAUAAGCAAGACCAAUAGGGUAUAACCUCACGUUCAGUUCUCUGUUAUGGAUCACGAAGAAUGAGCCAGCGGCAGUAUAAUCACGUGACUCGUGACGUAUCUGGUCCUGCCUAGAAUGAACCAAAACUCAUCUUCAGAUUGAGCACACACUUGUAUUUGUAUCAUGCUCUUUGCAGUGCUUACGCCCCCACUGGGUAUCAGCAGGAGUCCAAUGAACUGUGAAGACACAGCAUCAAAGGAUGGAAAGUGAGUGCACAAGAUUUUAAGCAUUAUUUCAAGAGGAAAAACACUGGUACAGAUCUGCGAAGGGCCCACCAACAAACAUUGCACAACAAACAAAUGAAAUUAUUUCCAACUUCCUUGAUCCUACAAAGAACACAAUUACCAUAUGACCCAGGAAUCCCACUGCUAGGAAUAUACCCAAGGGACUUGAAAGCAGGGAAGUGAUCAGUCACAUGUACACCAGUAUUCACUGCAGCAUUAUUCACAAUAACCAAAAGGUGGAAACAACCUAAAUGCUCAUCAGCAGAUGAAUGGACAAACUAAAUGCGGUAGGUACAUACAUACAGUGGAAU